rnacentral:rRNA from 1 species
GACAGAGGGUGCAAACGUUGUUCGGAAUUACUGGGCGUAAAGCGCGUGUAGGCAGUUUCGCAAGUCGGGUGUGAAAGCCCUGGGCUCAACCUAGGAAGUGCACUCGAAACUGCGAGACUUGAGUCCUGAGAGAAGGAGCGGAAUUCUCGGUGUAGAGGUGAAAUUCGUAGAUAUCGAGAGGAACACCGGUGGCGAAGGCGGCCUUCUGGACAGUGACUGACGCUGAGACGCGAAAGCGUGGGGAGCAAACAGGG